AAGCAAUCACAGAACCGGUUUUCAUUUUCGAUCUGACUUAUUUGAUUUAACAGAGUGAGAUCAUUUUGAAAGCUGAUUUUGUACGGAGAACUCAA
rnacentral:pre_miRNA from 14 species